AUGGAAAUCUCUGUAAUUUUU
rnacentral:tRNA from 1 species